UCUCCCCAUUGCAGCUAUGGACAGUAUAACCAUACUGCCAAAAAUCGGAGGAGGCCUCUCUUGACCAGUGAAAGUGCCUUGUGAGUGGAGGUCAUUCAGGGCCUGAAGGUGUCCCAUCCCUGGACUGUAGCUCUUUGGCUGGGGAGAGGCAUUUUGGGAGGCUGGAGGCAAGGGCUGCUCCUCCAUUCCUGAGGAGAUUCAUGUCAUCAGAGUGGAUGCUUACCACUAUUCUCUCAGCAGCCUUCUGAAGCAUAUUUGGCAUGCCCAUUCCUUAAUUGCUUUUCACUGAACACAGAGACUCUUG
rnacentral:lncRNA from 12 species